AUCGCUUCUCGGCCUUUUGGCUAAGAUCAAGUGUAGAAAAAACAAUCCAAUUACAUAAAAUGGUCAACCUAUAUAUUUAUUUAUUUAGAUUUUAUCUUAAUUUCAGUGUAGUUCUUUUUUUUAGAAAAACAUUUAUUUAUUUAAGGGGGGAGGGGC
rnacentral:snRNA from 1 species